CAGUAGCCACGGUAAUACGUAGGUGGCAAGCGUUGUCCGGAAUUAUUGGGCGUAAAGGGCUCGCAGGCGGUUUCUUAAGCCUGAUGUGAAAGCCCCCGGCUCAACCGGGGAGGGUCAUUGGAAACUGGGAAACUUGAGUGCAGAAGAGGAGAGUGGAAUUCCACGUGUAGCGGUGGAAUGCGUAGAGAUGUGGAGGAACACCAGUGGCGAAGGCGACUCUCUGGUCUGUAACUGACGCUGAGGAGCGAAAGCGUGGGAAGCGAACAGGAUUAGAUACCCCUGUAGUCCCUGUCUCUUAUAC
rnacentral:rRNA from 1 species